GAGGGUGCAAUACCAAGUGAAGAAAUACACCUUGAGAAGAGCUCUUGGGUUGUCAAUUGUGACUGGAAAUUCUACUCCUCACAUGGAUCAUAGAAAUAUACAAUACCAAGGUUGGUGAUAUUUCUUCUUCAUUGUGAACAAUCAGGUUUGAGUGGCACUUUGAAUGCAACAAAACUGAAAUAAGGAUCUUCAGUUGUUCUUUUUGGACUUGGUUCCAUUGGCAUUGCUGUUAAAUGUCUUAUUCAUGUGGUUAAGGCUGGUGCAUUCAAGUCCCACAGCAACGCGCGGGCAUUUUUGCUAGUCUAUUCUAAAAUUGA